CCUACGGGAGGCAGCAGUGAGGAAUAUUGGUCAAUGGGCGGAAGCCUGAACCAGCCAAGUCGCGUGAGGGAAUAAGGCCCUACGGGUCGUAAACCUCUUUUGCCGGGGAGCAAGGGCGGGGACGUGUCCCGGCCCGGAGAGGACCCGGAGAAAAAGCAUCGGCCAACUCCGGGCCAGCAGCCGCGGUAAUACGGAGGAUGCGUGCGUUAUCCGGAUUUAGUGGGUUGAAAGGGGGCGUAGGCGGGCUUUUAAGUCAGCGGUAAAAAUUCGGGGCUCCCCCCCGUCCGGCCGUUGAAACGGGGGGCCUUUAGUGGGCGAGAAGCAGGCGGCCUGCGUGGUGUAGCUG
rnacentral:rRNA from 1 species